rnacentral:lncRNA from 1 species
AGUCCAGAGCAGGGAGACGGGCCUGAGCCUCCAUGACCCUCACUUUCAGCAGUUCCCUUCCUCCCCGUGUAGUAACCGUAUCACGCAGCCCCCGAACAAAAGCUUCGUCUACAGGGUCAUGGUUACAGACAGCUGUAACCAUUUUAAGCUGCAAACCAGCUGAAUGGCAGAUUCCGCUGAAGGGAAGGUGGGGGACACUGGCAGAGAGAACUUCACGAUUGCACUGUUGGUGUCUUCCGUGUGCCCCCUCCCCUUGCCGCCGUGUCCCACGGAUCUUCUCCCGCGGCAGCAAGCCCUCUCUGCACUGCUUGGCAGUGUCUGCUUUAAGAGAGGAGCGGCCCUGCAGGGAGAGGGAGGGGACAGUCCGUCCACUGCUGCCUGGGAGCUUGAAUGGUAACAGCACCACUCCUCACUCUAGGAGAGUCAGGGAGGGAGCAGAUCCGAUGUCCUUUUUGUCCCCAGAGGCUUCUCCCAGAAGCAGCCUGUGAUCUAGUCAUUGUUGGAGACAGUGAGUAUACUUCUCUGCUACCCCCUCAUUAACGGUGCCAGAAAGUGAAGACGUGAGCUGAGCAGCCGCGGUGAACACCACGCAUUAGUCACGUAGGACACAGUAGGCUUUGGAUGGUUACAUUAGAGAUCUGGACUCAUUCUGAAAAAUGUUCCUGAGCAAUUUUGUUUUUAAAAGCAGACCAAUGGACUGAUCCAAUGGAUGGGUUAAAGUGUGUUGGUCUGGGAGAUAGGUGAAGCCUAAGUUUGGAUCCUGUUAAAACCAGCCGGGUGGGCUUAGAGACGUGGCCAAAUCACCUCGAGGCACAGUGGCCUCAUCUGUUGUUCUGGCCAGUACUGACACGAACUGUCACUUUUUGCUUCAUGGGUCAGCUGUACUAUUGCUGGCAAAGUGUUGGACUCACACCAAGUGCUUGACAGAGUUGCUCUGUGCCUGAAUGAUAGGUUUUGUCCCCACAAGGCCGUCCUAAGUUGAACAUAUCCUAAGUUAAAAGUGUACCGAACACUCCGAACUCCCUGAAGGUCAUCUGUGCCACACAGUGCCCUGUAGAAUGGCGAUUGCUUCCCCACUUGUUGUGUGGCCAGUGGGAGCUGUGGUUGCUGCUACUGCCUGGCACCUCUAGAAAGGGCCGGACUGCACAUCACCACCCAGGAAAGGAUGAAGAUUCCAAAUCUGAAGUCUGAUUUCUACUAAAGGCACAUUGUUUCGUGGCUAUGGUAAAGCUGAACCAUCAAAAGUCAGGGUGGCCAGCGGUUGCUAUUAUUAUUCCUAGGAAAUCCAUAUAAUACAACAUCCAAAUCAAGAUACUUUGACAGUGAAGGUGGACAUAAAAAUGAUUAAAAUGAUAAAUUUUCUGAAGGACUUACUUAUUGACCAGGAAAUCGAUUUUCUGAAAUACUGGUAGACCUAUAAAAUCUUUCUAUUCAGAAUACUAUUUUCAGGGCUGGGGAUUUAGCUCAGUGGUGCUGGCGCCUGCCUCGCAAGCACAAGGACCUGAGUUCGAUCCCCGGUACCAAAAAAAAACCCCCAAAAAACAAAAAACAAAACAAAAAAACAAACAGAAUACUAUUUUCAAAUAUCUAGCACUUCUGAAGAAAUAAAAUAGCAUAUGUCUGU